rnacentral:rRNA from 1 species
GACGAACGCUGGCGGCGUGCUUAACACAUGCAAGUCGAACGGAAAGGCCCUGCUUUUGUGGGGUGCUCGAGUGGCGAACGGGUGAGUAACACGUGAGUAACCUGCCCUUGACUUUGGGAUAACUUCAGGAAACUGGGGCUAAUACCGGAUAGGAGCUCCUGCUGCAUGGUGGGGGUUGGAAAGUUUCGGCGGUUGGGGAUGGACUCGCGGCUUAUCAGCUUGUUGGUGGGGUAGUGGCUUACCAAGGCUUUGACGGGUAGCCGGCCUGAGAGGGUGACCGGCGACAUUGGGACUGAGAUACGGCCCAGACUCCUACGGGAGGCAGCAGUGGGGAAUAUUGCACAAUGGGCGGAAGCCUGAUGCAGCAACGCCGCGUGCGGGAUGACGGCCUUCGGGUUGUAAAACGCUUUCGCCUGUGACGAAGCGUGAGUGACGGUAAUGGGUAAAGAAGCACCGGCUAACUACGUG